UACACGCUGUGACUAGCAUAUCAAUAAGCGGAGGAAAAGAAACUAACAAGGAUUCCCCUAGUAACGGCGAGUGAAGCGGGAAGAGCUCAAAUUUGAAAUCUUAAAGGGUUUCCCUUUACGAAUUGUAGUUUAAAGAAGUGUUUUCUGUUGAGGUUUUGGUAAAAGUUCUUUGGAAUAGGACAUCAUAGAGGGUGAGAAUCCCGUAUUUGACCUUUACUUUCAACUUUGUGAUACACUUUCAAAGAGUCGGAUUGUUUGGGAAUGCAGUCCAAAAUGGGUGGUAAAUUUCAUCUAAAGCUAAAUAUUGGCGAGAGACCGAUAGCGAACAAGUACCGUGAGGGAAAGAUGAAAAGAACUUUGAAAAGAGAGUUAAACAGUACGUGAAAUUGUCAAAAGGGAAGCGUUUGACACCAGUGUUGUUUUUCUGAAAAUCAAUUAAAGAACUGUUUAUGCUAAGCUGUUUAGACUUUAUCAGCUAACUGUUUAGUUUUGAGCUUUUCUUUAAUGCACUUUUCAGUUAACAAGUCAACAUCAAUUUCUUUUGCUGUAAAAAAGCUUGAGGAAGGUGGCUUGAGAUUCGUCUUAAGUGUUUAUAGCCUCUUGCCUAUGCAGUCGGAGAGAUUGAGGUCUGCAGCGUAGAUCCUUCGGGGCUAAAUGCAUUUGUGCUAAGUUAUAGCAUUUUAUAGACAACUUGUUGACUAUGAUUUGUCUUGUAGCUUACUCGCUUAUGUUAUUUUACCUACGCUUAGGAUGUUGAGUCGUAGAGCACGCAG
rnacentral:rRNA from 1 species